rnacentral:rRNA from 1 species
UACGUAGGGGGCGAGCGUUGUCCGGAAUUAUUGGGCGUAAAGAGCGUGUAGGCGGUUCGGUAAGUCUGCCGUGAAAACCUGGGGCUCAACCCUGGGCGUGCGGUGGAUACUGCCGGGCUAGAGGGUGGUAGAGGCGAGUGGAAUUCCUGGUGUAGCGGUGAAAUGCGCAGAUAUCGGGAGGAACACCAGUAGCGAAGGCGGCUCGCUGGGCCAUUCCUGACGCUGAGACGCGAAAGCUAGGGGAGCGAACAGG